AGGCGCCCUGCACCCUCGGCGGGGCAGCAGGUGGGCCAGGUGCCCCCGCACUUACCAUGGCGGCUCCGCGGGCUCCACGUCCCGGUCACAGUCGCAGUCCAGAAGCUGCUCUGUGAAAAAAGCAGAGGGGCGGUUUCCGCGAUGAGCGAUGUGUCGCUAAAAUCGCUGACCACGGCGACUUGCGGUUUGCUCAAAGGUGGGUCACCAGGGAAAGCCAGCGCCGUCCCCGCAGGCCAGCCCCAUGGAUCGCCGAAGGCACCGAGGCCAGUCGGACGGAGCCUGCGGAUGCGCUCUGCGGAGCAAAGUCUCCCUUCACUGUGCUUUCCACUCGAGGAAGGAAAAUUCUAGAAUGACUAAGGUACGUCUGUACGGGACAAAGCAGCUCGUGCGCCGUUCCAGGCCACCUGCGGUUCCGGGCACCCGUCGGGGUUCCUGGAACACACACCCUGGAUACGGGGGAGCCGCUGCGGAUGACAACACGUAAGGAGGCCGGGAAGGAAAACUCCUCCCCCCAAAAAGCCGGCCUUUAGUAGAAAUACUGCCAAUCCUUUGACCACAUCAAGAAGUAGAAAAAAAUGCUUGAGCAAAACCUUCUGGAAA